AAAUUAAAAAAGUUAAUUAGAAAAGUAGAAAAAUCUGCCAAAUAAAUUUUAUAAAAAAUCCAAUUUAUUUUGUUUAAAUAAAAUUUUAAAAAAGAACUGAAACAUCUUAGUAAAAUAAAAAGAAAAGGUUGAAAGUAGUGGCGAACGAAAUCAACCCAAAUUAAAAAUUAAAUGCUUUUUACAUAAUUAAAGAAGAUUUUAUCUAUAAAGAUAGUACUGUGAAGGAAACAUUAAUAUAAUUAAUUUAAAUCAGUGAAUUUCACUUACCUUUUGUAUAAUGGGUUUACAAGAAUAAAUAUUAGCAAGCUAAAAGGCCAAAGAAAUUAAAUAGUUAAUAUUACCCGAAACCAGGCGAUCUAAUUGUGAACAACUUUUUGAGUCAACUAAUGAAUGUAGAAAAAUUCUUAGAAGAUUUGCAGUUAGCGGCGAAAAACCAAUCGAGCUUGGAUAUAGCUGGUUCUCUACGAAAAUUAUAUAAGUAAUAUAAUAUUUAGAUUAAAAAGACAAAUAGUUAUAACAUUAUUUGUCAAAAAGAUAACAAUCUUAACCAUAAACUAAUGAACUGUAUGUUAAUAACAAACAAGAGAUUAAUUAUUAAUACAAUAAAAAAGUGGGCUUAGAAACUGCCAUAUUUUAUAGAGUACGUAAUAGUUUAUUUAAUAAAAAAUAUGGUCUCUCAAAUUAAGUUAAACCUAACCUCAGAAAUUAUGGAAUUAUAGUAGUAGAGUAUUUUAUUAUUUACUAAGAAAUUUAAUAAAAGAAAUAAUGUAAACAUGAAUAUAACUAAAUUUAUUCCUAAAUUUUCUUAUUAUACCAAUGAAUAAGGUAAUUCAGUAUCUCAUAAAAUAAGGAUUAAUAAUAAAUUAAACCAAGAAAAAUUAUUAUAAUAUACUGUAAAAUCUCAAUCAAGAAGGAAUAAAAAACUGAAAAAUUUUUUCUAAGUAACUCGGCAAAUUGAAUAUCGACUGUUUACCAAAAACAUAGCCCCAGACGUAAUCUGAGGUGUAACCUGCCCAGUGGUUUCUAAUAAAAAGAAAUAAAAAUUCUUAAAAGAAACUAAAAGGACGCGGUAACCUUGACCGUGGUAAUGUAGCAUAAUCACUCGCCAUUUAAUUGGUGGAUAGUAUGAAUGGUUGAACGAAUAUUCCGCUGUCUUAGAGAGAAUCAUAAGAAAUUGAAAUAAUAGUUAAGAUGCUAUUUUUUACUGUAAGACGAAAAGACCCUAUAGAGCUUAACUAUAACCUUUUUAUUAAUAAUAGAAAAAUAAUUCUAAAAUUAAGAAGGUUGGUAGUUUAGUUGGGGCGACUGUCUUCUACAAAAAACGAAGACAAGCAAUGUUAAUAUGAAACUUAUUGUAUAACAAAAAUGUUUAACAAUUAUGAAAAUAGGCUAUAAUGACCCGUUAAUACUUCAUAAAAAGAAUAACGAUCAAUUAAUAAAAGCUACCUUAGGGAUAACAGGAUAAUUUCAUUCUAGAGUUCCUAUCGAAAAUGAAGUUUGUCACCUCUAUGUUGAAUUAAGAUAUCCUGAUAAUGCAGCAGUUAUCAAAGGUAGGUCUGUUCGACCUUUAAAAUCUUACAUGA
rnacentral:rRNA from 1 species